CAAGUCGAACGAGAAAGUGGAGCAAUCCAUGAGUACAGUGGCGUACGGGUGAGUAACACGUGGGUAAUCUACCUUUUAGUGAGGAAUAACCAAGGGAAACCAUGGCUAAUACCGCAUAAGCCUGAGAAGGGAAAGCAGCAAUGCGCUGAAAGAGGAGCCCGCGGCCGAUUAGCUAGUUGGCAGGGUAAAAGCCUACCAAGGCAGAGAUCGGUAGCCGGCCUGAGAGGGCACACGGCCACACUGGCACUGAAACACGGGCCAGACUCCUACGGGAGGCAGCAGUGGGGAAUCUUGCACAAUGGGGGAAACCCUGAUGCAGCGACGCCGCGUGAGCGAUGAAGCCCUUCGGGGUGUAAAGCUCUUUCGUCAGGGAAGAUAGUGACGGUACCUGGAGAAGCAGCUGCGGCUAACUACGUGCCAGCAGCCGCGGUAAUACGUAGGCAGCAAGCGUUGUUCGGAGUUACUGGGCGUAAAGGGUGUGUAGGCGGUUCUUUAAGUUUGCUGUGAAAUCUCCCGGCUUAACCGGGAGGGUGCGGUGAAUACUGAGGGACUAGAGUACGGGAGAGGAAAGUGGAAUUCCUGGUGUAGCGGUGAAAUGCGUAGAUAUCAGGAGGAACACCGGUGGUGUAGACGGCUUUCUGGACCGUAACUGACGCUGAGACACGAAAGCGUGGGUAGCAAACAGGAUUAGAUACCCUGGUAGUCCACGCCCUAAAAGAUGCAUAUUUGGUGUGGGCAGUUCAUUCUGUCCGUGCCGGAGCUAACGCGUUAAAUAUGCCGCCUGGGGAGUACAGUCGCAAGGCUGAAACUCAAAGGAAUUGACGGGGGCCCGCACAAGCGGUGGAGCAUGUGGUUCAAUUCGACGCAACGCGAAGAACCUUACCUGGGCUCGAACGGCUUCUCA
rnacentral:rRNA from 1 species